AGAGUUUGAUCCUGGCUCAGGAUGAACGCUAGCGGCAGGCCUAAUACAUGCAAGUCGAACGGUGUCUUCGGACAUAGUGGCGCACGGGUGCGUAACACGUAUGCAACCUACCUUACAUUGGGGGAUAGCCUUUCGAAAGGGAGAUUAAUACCGCAUAAGACAGUAGCUGGGCAUCCAGCAGCUGUUAAAGAUUUAUCGAUGUAAGAUGGGCAUGCGUCCAAUUAGUUAGUUGGCGAGGUAACGGCUCACCAAGACUUUGAUUGGUAGGGGAACUGAGAGGUCAAUCCCCCACACUGGCACUGAGAUACGGGCCAGACUCCUACGGGAGGCAGCAGUAGGGAAUAUUGGGCAAUGGACGCAAGUCUGACCCAGCCAUGCCGCGUGCAGGAUGAAGGCGUUAUGCGUUGUAAACUGCUUUUAUACAGGAAGAAACAGACUCUUGCGAGAGGCAUUGACGGUACUGUAUGAAUAAGCACCGGCUAACUCCGUGCCAGCAGCCGCGGUAAUACGGAGGGUGCAAGCGUUGUCCGGAUUUAUUGGGUUUAAAGGGUGCGCAGGUGGUUUAUUAAGUCAGUGGUGAAAGACGGUCG
rnacentral:rRNA from 1 species